rnacentral:tRNA from 1 species
UAGCUCAGUCAGUAAAGAAUCUGCCUGCAGUGCAGAAGACCCAGGUUCAAUCCCUGG